UGAAAAUGGCAUAUCUGAAAUGUCAUUGCAUUUAACAACGACAAGUGUUUCAAAUGUUCUCUCUUGAAUCCCUGCUUUGUAGACUCUGUUUUCCCUGACUGAAAUGCCUUCCCUAUACCUUCUUCACCUAACAAAAUACUGCUUUCCCAAGACACUCAGCUCAGACUCCAUCUCCUCCAGAGGCCUUUCUCUGAAAUGCCCCUCCCCCAACUGCCUCACCCCCUGAUAGCAUAAGAUAUUUUCUUUCAUUGAUUUAUUCUUUAAAAAUACCACUCCACCACUUAAUUAGCAUGGCUUACUUGAGUACAAUUUUGCAUUUGUUUUUACUGUCCAAAACUUAUUUUUAAGUACAGAUUGCUUAUUUGUUUUGUAUUCUUUUCUCUGCCUGCAAGUUGGGCUGUGUAAUGCCAAGCAAACUGUGAUUAAGAAAAUUAGUU